ACAGAUGGGAGCUUGCUCCCUGAUGUUAGCGGCGGACGGGUGAGUAACACGUGGGUAACCUGCCUGUAAGACUGGGAUAACUCCGGGAAACCGGGGCUAAUACCGGAUGCUUGUUUGAACCGCAUGGUUCAAACAUAAAAGGUGGCUUCGGCUACCACUUACAGAUGGACCCGCGGCGCAUUAGCUAGUUGGUGAGGUAAUGGCUCACCAAGGCGACGAUGCGUAGCCGACCUGAGAGGGUGAUCGGCCACACUGGGACUGAGACACGGCCCAGACUCCUACGGGAGGCAGCAGUAGGGAAUCUUCCGCAAUGGACGAAAGUCUGACGGAGCAACGCCGCGUGAGUGAUGAAGGUUUUCGGAUCGUAAAGCUCUGUUGUUAGGGAAGAACAAGUACCGUUCGAAUAGGGCGGUACCUUGACGGUACCUAACCAGAAAGCCACGGCUAACUACGUGCCAGCAGCCGCGGUAAUACGUAGGUGGCAAGCGUUGUCCGGAAUUAUUGGGCGUAAAGGGCUCGCAGGCGGUUUCUUAAGUCUGAUGUGAAAGCCCCCGGCUCAACCGGGGAGGGUCAUUGG
rnacentral:rRNA from 1 species